GCCACCAUAUGGCAGCCUUGUUGAUUUGGGUGGAGAAAAACAUGUACUGACAUGGAACACGUGGAAGAAGGUGAAGACACCAAAAAUGGAUGAAAUUGCAGCCAAAAGAGGGUCCAAGAUGACACCAUCCACAACACGAGACUCUCCUGCUCAAGACCUUUGAUGGGCUGGUGACCAGCCCAGGUUAUGACCAAAAGCUGAGGACAAGGCUCUUUAUGUGCUGUCAUUGCUUGCUGUCAUAGAUAAGGAGAAGCAGCAGAGUGAGAGAGCCACAGUUGGCCUCCCUAGCACUCUCAUAUCAAAGCCAGUGAGGACAGCUGUCGGGCCGUGGAUCUAAACAGUGGGCAGCCGUCAUGGCAGGAGGUGAAUUAAUCCGCUCUGGCAUUUUAAACCCCCAGGCCCCUUCCAAACAGUUACAUCUGUGUGGCCCCCUGUAUCUUCACCGGUUAAUGCACGCCAGGCACUGAUGUGGACAAUAACACAGCUAAAGUAAUAUGUCAUUGCUCGACAAUUAGUGAUAGAUGGUGACAAUUUCCACUUACUCACUGGCAGUUUUUGGAGGGUGACUGCCAGUUGUUGCAGGUUAUUUUUG